GAUGAACGCUGGCGGCGUGCCUAAUACAUGCAAGUCGAGCGAACGGACGAGAAGCUUGCUUUUCUGAUGUUAGCGGCGGACGGGUGAGUAACACGUGGAUAACCUACCUAUAAGACUGGGAUAACUUCGGGAAACCGGAGCUAAUACCGGAUAAUAUUUUGAACCGCAUGGUUCAAAAGUGAAAGACGGUCUUGCUGUCACUUAUAGAUGGAUCCGCGCUGCAUUAGCUAGUUGGUAAGGUAACGGCUUACCAAGGCAACGAUGCAUAGCCGACCUGAGAGGGUGAUCGGCCACACUGGAACUGAGACACGGUCCAGACUCCUACGGGAGGCAGCAGUAGGGAAUCUUCCGCAAUGGGCGAAAGCCUGACGGAGCAACGCCGCGUGAGUGAUGAAGGUCUUCGGAUCGUAAAACUCUGUUAUUAGGGAAGAACAUAUGUGUAAGUAACUGUGCACAUCUUGACGGUACCUAAUCAGAAAGCCACGGCUAACUACGUGCCAGCAGCCGCGGUAAUACGUAGGUGGCAAGCGUUAUCCGGAAUUAUUGGGCGUAAAGCGCGCGUAGGCGGUUUUUUAAGUCUGAUGUGAAAGCCCACGGCUCAACCGUGGAGGGUCAUUGGAAACUGGAAAACUUGAGUGCAGAAGAGGAAAGUGGAAUUCCAUGUGUAGCGGUGAAAUGCGCAGAGACAUGGAGGAACACCAGUGGCGAAGGCGACUUUCUGGUCUGUAACUGACGCUGAUGUGCGAAAGCGUGGGGAUCAAACAGGAUUAGAUACCCUGGUAGUCCACGCCGUAAACGAUGAGUGCUAAGUGUUAGGGGGUUUCCGCCCCUUAGUGCUGCAGCUAACGCAUUAAGCACUCCGCCUGGGGAGUACGACCGCAAGGUUGAAACUCAAAGGAAUUGACGGGGACCCGCACAAGCGGUGGAGCAUGUGGUUUAAUUCGAAGCAACGCGAAGAACCUUACCAAAUCUUGACAUCCUUUGACAACUCUAGAGAUAGAGCCUUCCCCUUCGGGGGACAAAGUGACAGGUGGUGCAUGGUUGUCGUCAGCUCGUGUCGUGAGAUGUUGGGUUAAGUCCCGCAACGAGCGCAACCCUUAAGCUUAGUUGCCAUCAUUAAGUUGGGCACUCUAAGUUGACUGCCGGUGACAAACCGGAGGAAGGUGGGGAUGACGUCAAAUCAUCAUGCCCCUUAUGAUUUGGGCUACACACGUGCUACAAUGGACAAUACAAAGGGCAGCGAAACCGCGAGGUCAAGCAAAUCCCAUAAAGUUGUUCUCAGUUCGGAUUGUAGUCUGCAACUCGACUACAUGAAGCUGGAAUCGCUAGUAAUCGUAGAUCAGCAUGCUACGGUGAAUACGUUCCCGGGUCU
rnacentral:rRNA from 1 species